CCCUUAGAUGCUCUGGGAUGCACGCGCGUUACACUGAUUCGUUCAACGAGUUUAUGACCUUGCCUGAUGAGGUGGGGGAAUCUUUUCAAAUCGCAUCGUGAUGGGGAUAGAGUAUUGUAACUGUUAGUCUUCAACGAGGAAUUCCUAGUAAGUACGUGUCAUCAGCUCGUACUGAUUAUGUCCCUGCCCUUUGUACACACCGCCCGUCGCUCCUACCGAUUGAGUGCUCAGGUGAAUAGUAUGGACUGCAUCAGUGUUCGGUCUCCGAAUGUUGACGCGAGAAAUUCUGUGAAUCUUAUUGCUUAGAGGAAGGAGAAGUCGUAACA
rnacentral:rRNA from 1 species